GUAGGGAAUAUUGGACAAUGGUCGGAAGACUGACCCAGCCAUGCCGCGUGCAGGAAGACGGCCCUCUGGGUUGUAAACUGCUUUUAUCUGGGAAGAAAAAGGCCAUGCGUGGCAAAUUGCCGGUACCAGAUGAAUAAGCACCGGCUAACUCCGUGCCAGCAGCCGCGGUAAUACGGAGGGUGCGAGCGUUGUCCGGAUUUAUUGGGUUUAAAGGGUGCGUAGGCGGCUGAUUAAGUCAGCGGUGAAAGACUUCGGCUUAACCGGAGCAGUGCCGUUGAUACUGGUUGGCUUGAGUGUCGGAGGGGUACAUGGAAUUGAUGGUGUAGCGGUGAAAUGCAUAGAUACCAUCAGGAACACCGAUAGCGAAGGCAUUGUACUGGCCGACAACUGACGCUGAUGCACGAAAGUGUGGGGAUCGAACAGGAUUAGAAACCCGGGUAGUCC
rnacentral:rRNA from 1 species